CAGCAGCCGCGGGAAUACGGAGGGUGCAAGCGUUAUCCGGAUUUAUUGGGUUUAAAGGGUCCGUAGGCGGACUUAUAAGUCAGUGGUGAAAGCCUGUCGCUUAACGAUAGAACUGCCAUUGAUACUGUAAGUCUUGAGUAUAUUUGAGGUAGCUGGAAUAAGUAGUGUAGCGGUGAAAUGCAUAGAUAUUACUUAGAACACCAAUUGCGAAGGCAGGUUACCAAGAUAUAACUGACGCUGAGGGACGAAAGCGUGGGUAGCGAACAGGAUUAGAGACCCCAGUAGUCCCUGUCUCUUAUAA
rnacentral:rRNA from 1 species